GGGGGGGGGGGGGGGGGGGGGGGGGGGGGGGGGGGGGGGGGGGGGGGGGGGGGGGGGGGGGGGGGGGGGGGGGGGGGGGGGGGGGGGGCGGACACCGGACACACGGACAGAUGGACAUAUGGACACACGGACACGGGACUGAGCCGGGACACGCGGACACCGGACACGCGGACACCGGACACGCGGACAGAUGGACACAUGGACACACGGACACGGGACUGAGCCGGGACACGCGGACACCGGACACGCGGACACCGGACACGCGGACAGAUGGACACAUGGACACACGGACACGGGACUGAGCCGGGACACGCGGACACCGGACACGCGGACACCGGACACGCGGACAGAUGGACACAGACAGAUGGACACACGGACACUGGACACAUGGACACAUGGACACACGGACACACGGACAGAUGGACACCGGACACCGGACACAUGGACACACGGACACCGGACACAGGGACACACGGACACCGGACACACGGACACCGGACACACGGACACAGGGACACCGGACACACGGACACAUGGACACACGGACACCAGACACACGGACAGAUGGACACACGGACACCGGACACACGGACACUGGACAAGACACCCCCAGCCCAACCAAGGACUCUCCAGUGACAUCAUCGGUGGCAUCAAUGUGGCCAGUGACGUCAUCAACGUGGACAGUGACGUCACCAGUGCGGCCAACAACGUCUGUGGUGGUGGUGUCGUGGGCGAUGACGUCAUCAGCGAAGCAGCCAAUGGCGGUGCUGGAGGCAUCAAUGAUGUAAUCAACAAGAUGGGUGUGGCCAGUGAUGUCACCAGCUUAUCCUUGACAUCAUCAACAGUGUCAGUAUGACCUAUGAUGUCAUCACCGAGAUGGGUGUGUCCAGUGAUGUCAGUGACACCAUUGGCAGGGUGGGUGUGUCCAAUGACAUCAUCAGCAAGGCAGGCGUGACAGAUGACAUCAUCAGUGAUGUCACUGGCGGGAUGGGCGCGUCCCGUGACAUCACUGCAGGCGUCAACAUGACCAGUGACAUCAUCCGCGUGGCUCAUGACGUCAUCACUGGGGCGCUCCGUGGGGGGUGAGGGGUCGCCCCGGGGCACUGUGGGUGAUGGGAGGGUGGGGGUCGCUGUGGGGGUC
rnacentral:lncRNA from 12 species